UGGGCUCUUUGGGGGGCUGGGUAGCUGUACCCCCUUUGGGAGUUGACCCUUUGGAAGAGGGAGGGAUCACAGGUGGGGGAGAAGUGGGCUCUUUGGGGGGCUGGGUAGCUGUGCCCCCUUUAGGAGAGGACCCUUUGGGAGAGGGAGGAGUAACAGGUAGAGAAGUUAUCUCUUUGGGGGACUGGGUAGUGGUGCCCCCUUUGGGAGAGGCAGGAAUCACAGGUGGGGGGGAAGGGGUCUCUUUGGUGGGCUGAGUAGCUGUGCCCCCUUUGGAAGAUGACCCUUUGGGAGAGGGAGGGAUCACAGGUGGGGGAGAAACGGUCUCUUUGGGGGGCUGGGUAGCUGUGCCCCCUUUGGGAGAGGAGAGAAUCACAGGUGGAAGAGGGAUCUCUUUGGGAGGUUGUGUAGCUGUGCUCCCUUUGGGAGAGGCAGGAACCACAG